AACAAGUUUAAUCCCCACUCCCGUGGCAAUUAUCCAGGGAGGAAAUAUUGUAACUACACAGUAUCACAAGUGGAAUGUCCUCAGCAGAUCUUAUAGCAAAGACCAUUUCUUCAUUCCCUAGCAGAAAUGAAUUAUGAAAGUGAGGUCCUGGGGCUUAGGUUCUUUCUCUGCUAGGUGAACUAUCACCAUGGAAGACUGAGGAGGAGACAGAAGAGUAAUUCAGUGUCAUGACCCUACCUUCCUUUGUUUUCUCUACAACUACUAAACUAUAAAGAUUCUAAGAAAAAAGAGGAUGAACCAAGAAUACGGAGUCCACAGAAAGUUUUUGAACAAAGGGGCAUCUGCUAGCCAGGGGCAUGGGAAGGGACAAGAAUUUGUGAAGAAGGUUGGAAUAGAGGGAAAAAGGCAAAAGAAUCACAUGAGCCUGAGAAAAAGAAACCACUGGAGCAGACAGAAAGUCUGGUGGUAUCCAACUAACAGAAAGAGCUUGCAAAGUGGACACUCAACACACCUGAACCAUCAGGACAAGGCAAUGCUUCUACAUGGGAAAUAUGUAGUAUGGCCCCUUCACAGUCUCAGAAAUCACCUAGAAUUUUCCAGUAAUUUUCUGAGUCAUAGGGAAGGCCUAGAUUGUGAAACAUUUAUUAUUUCAACUAACUUAACAGCAGAAAAAGAAUAAAGAAUAAGAUAUGAUGCUUAACACUGAAGAAAAAGUAAUGAAUCCAUGUUUAAAUUCAGUUACCUUAUGUAAUCGAAGGUAUACGUGAGCUGAAGAGAGUUUGUCCACAUGAAACCUACAAAGAAUGAAAAUCACUUUUAGCAAGAGAUAUGAGAUAACCAUCUCCUUGGUCACUUGCAUUUAAAGCAUUCCAUUCCCAAACUGUAUUCACUCAGGGCCUACCACAGACCAUGGGAGUUAUGCCACCGUGUGUGGUUAAGUGCCAAGACGAGUAAGAUAAUAAAUAUUAAAUGCCCUGAGAAAAGUGAUUCUUCAAGUGAUAAAAAGAGCUUUCUGUGAUCAAAGUGUUCAUGGAAGAAAUAAGAUUUGGCUGGCCCCUGACUGAAGCACACACAGGACUAAAAGGAAAAACAGAAAAAGAAAUUGCAGAUGAGAAGAGAAGGGAAUGACAGAAGUUGCUGAGACUCCAAUGUUGCCAGCCUGGGAGAUCUGCAGGACCACACACUGGAUUAGCCUGGAGCAUUCUGAGUUUCAAACAAUGACAAAACAGCCACAAGUGAAUGUCAAGUACAGAUUUGGGAAAAUUAGGUAAAGUCGGUAAGCUCAGAUUAACAAAUUCAUCCAGCCCUAUACUCCGACAAUGACACUAACAUGUGUCCUCAGGAUGAACACUGUCUUUAUGGCAUUGUCUAAAAAACAUUCAGGAUAUCUCUAAUCCCAGUGUCAUAAAUCAAUCUUUCAUUAAGGCUCUAAAAUCCAUCAAUUUAAUUAAAUUCUUUAAAACUGAUGUGACAUUUCAGGAUAUUGUAUUUUUCAAGUUUAUAAGUCAACAAUGUCAACUCUCUCUUUACAACACCCAGAGAAGCCUCCAAAGUCCUAAUGUCAAACAAUAAACAAGAUAAUGCAUGAUUAUA